rnacentral:misc_RNA from 1 species
AACGCACAUUGCGCCCGUUAGUAUUCUAGCGGGCAUGCCUGUUCGAGCGUCAUUUCAACCCUCAAGCAUUGCCUUGGUGUUGGGGCUGCUGUGCUGAUGCAGUACAGGCCCCUAAAGUCAGUGGCGGGCUUGCUAUAACCCCGAGCAUAGUAGACUUACAAUUGCUUCAGGGCAGUUUAUGGCAGGUUCUGGCCGUUAACACACCUAUAUAUCAGAAUGUUGACCUCGGAUCAGGUAGGAAUACCCGCUGAACUUAA